CUCCAUUUCUAGUUGACUAUUUGCUAAUACACCACCAUAAAUAAUGGAAUCAGUUAAAAAAUGUGAUGAGUCAACAUUAUCAUCAUAUUUUCCCCGAUUUCAAUGCCAAUUUCAUGACGUCAUGCCCUGAAAAAGGAAUAUCAGGGCAAACGAAGGAAGAUACUUCUAACUUGAUCUGAAGAGAUGUUCGGAUUCCGAAUUCUACGAGGGACGGCAGGAGGAGAAUUCAUCCAAGGAAUUCUACCAAAUUUCAUAAGGGAGUAGAAUGGACUCCUUCCUUGAGAACAAGAUAUCAGGAUAGAAACAAUAAAGUCAUCCAUUAACGAUAAACAAACUAUAAAAGUAUUCAGAAUGGCUACCCAAAACUUUUGUUAUUAUUCCAUGUCUCUAAGUGGAAAAACGUCGGAGCAACAUCAAAAAAGGCAACGCAUGUGCGAUCUCCUUCGUGCCAGUACCCAUAGGGUCUGGAAUAAACAAAAAUUCUUCAGCAACAAUAUGGUUGACUUCUGGCCUGGAUCCAUGUGACACUCCUUUAUCCCAGACUUGGCAGUUUGGGACGUCUUGAAGAAUAAUGUCUGCCUCACCUCUCAUCCAAAUUUAAAUUGAUUCGGAGCUGCCAACAUGACAGUGUCACGCUGUAGACACAGCUUUCAUCGUCAAGAGGUGCUAAUCUGUUCGCCAGCGCGUCAAGGCUGUUAUUGAUUGAUAUAAUUUUGAAUAUUUUUUUGCUAAAUAUCGUAUUUAAAUCUAUGAAAAAUUAA
rnacentral:lncRNA from 1 species